rnacentral:lncRNA from 1 species
CUUAAAGUCUAGUGAGAGAGACAACGUUAUUAGUGUAACAAUAAUUAUACACAUUAUUUUGCUGUGUAAUAUUGCUGCCUAAACAUUACAGUUAGAUUAAAUAAGAUAAUUUAUAAAAUCCCAACAACUAAUGAACAUGGGUGGUCAUUUUCCCAAAGCCACGCACACGUCAUAAUUUAAUUAUACUGAUGAAAACGACACUGGCAAAGAACAGGGUGAUGAGAGAAUAUAGUGGCCGCCUAUCCUAGCCCGUACGGUCUGAAGAAAGCUUUCCUGAGAAAGUGACUUUUAGAAUAAAACUUAAAGAAUGAAUAAAAGUUGGCCAGGGGAAGGGGAAGUAAAGAUGAAGAACAGAAUGUGGCCCAGGCAGAGAGAACAGGACAAACAAAGGCCCUGGGGCCUUUGAAACUAGUCCCAGUGGAUUUGUGAACUCUUUCAGAGAUGCUCCAUGCUGGUCCCCUUAUACUUUUCAAAGAAAGAAAGUUCAAGAUGCUUCCAACUUCCCACGUUUAUAUGCUAUCAGCUUAUUCCCAGCUCCCCCUGCUUUCCCCAUCUCCCCUACUCUCAGCUCUCUGGCCAUGACACUCAGUCAUAGCCCGCAUGGCGUAGUGGCGUCCUCUGACCCUGGGCAGCAGAGCGUUGGUAGAAGUCCUAUGUGUCUAGACAAAAGAUUGGUUAGUCUUUUCGAAAGCGAGUGUUCCAGGUCUGACUCAACCUGACUGAGAGCCAAGAAAGAGAUGAUAAGGCUGAUGGAAAAGAUCUCCUUAAUGAAUGGCAAUAAAAAACAGCCCAAAGGUGAAGGCAUGCAAUGGCCUUGGCGUUUCCUGCGGCUGCGGCCCCAGACAGGCUCUUGAAAGCGCUCAAGGAUAAGAGGUCCAGUGAUAUCUCUGCUUUAUUUACUGCCUCUGGACCCCAGAAUCUGUGCUCCUGCAAUAAGAAACAGCUCAAUCAAUGGAGGCAUCUGCUAUGAUUCCCCAUGGCAUCCUGAUACGUUUUGAAAGCAAGAUUUUUUUCCACUUAGUAUCCAGGAGGGCAACUCAGAUCCUUAAAGGAGCUCCUGAUUUUCACCCACGGGCUGGGAAUUCGAUGCACGCCCCGAAGAUUCUAAAAGGGAUUAGACCAGAACUUGGGCUCAAGUUCUUGUCUAGGGCAGGUGGAGUGCCGUCCCUCCAUCGUUGCCCUGCAAUGAUGUACUGUGGAAUCUUCCACAGUUACCACUAGACAUGUGGACACUGCAGAGGUCUGUGGGCUACUAGCCUAUUUGCAACACUGCCCACACCUUAUGUCCUUCUCUGGGUCUCCAGAUUCCUGAGACAGAAAGAAUUUUUUGCUCCAUAAAAACAGGCGGCUGAGCUACAUGAAAAAGCACUGGACCUGGGCUCAGGAAAUCGGCUUAGAGUCUCCUUGCUGCCACUUGUCAUUUGGAUGGAUGUAAUUUCUCUGAGACUCAAAUUUCUCACAGGCGAAAUGGUGAUAAUUCUACUUUGGCUCUGAGGAGCGAAGGAUAUCGUUGAAAGGUGGUUGUACUUCAUUCACUCCUCUUAAAUGGCUUAGGACAGACAGCCUUCAGGAGAUGCUCUGAAUUUAAAAACCACCUCGGAUGAUAGGCCUUCCUUGAC